GACGAACGCUGGCGGCGUGCCUAAUACAUGCAAGUCGAACGCGGAAGGAGGAGCUUGCUUCUCUGGAUGAGUUGCGAACGGGUGAGUAACGCGUAGGUAACCUGCCUGGUAGCGGGGGAUAACUAUUGGAAACGAUAGCUAAUACCGCAUAAUAGUAGAUGUUGCAUGACAUUUACUUAAAAGGUGCAAUUGCAUCACUAUCAGAUGGACCUGCGUUGUAUUAGCUUGAGGGUGGGGUAACGGCUCACCAAGGCGACGAUACAUAGCCGACCGGAGAGGGGGAGCGGCCACCCUGAGACUGAGACACGGCCCAGACUCCUACGGGAGGCAGCAGUAGGGAAUCUGCGGCAAUGGACGAAAGUCUGACCGAGCAACGCCGCGGGAGUGAAGAAGGUUUUCGGAUCGGAAAGCUCUGUUGUAAGAGAAGAACGAGUGUGAGGGUGGAAAGUUCACAUUGUGACGGUAUCUGAUCAGAAAGGGACGGCUAACUACGUG
rnacentral:rRNA from 1 species